rnacentral:rRNA from 1 species
CAGCCGCCACGGUAAAACGUAGGGUGCGAGCGUUAAUCGGAUUUACUGGGCGUAAAGCGUGCGCAGGCGGCCCGUUAAGACAGGUGUGAAAUCCCUGGGCUCAACCUAGGAAUUGCGCUUGUGACUGGCGGGCUCGAGUACGGUAGAGGGGGGUGGAAUUCCUGGUGUAGCAGUGAAAUGCGUAGAGAUCAGGAGGAACACCGAUGGCGAAGGCAGCCCCCUGGGCCUGUACUUACGCUCAUGCACGAAAGCGUGGGGAGCAAACAGGAUUAGAUACCCGCGUAGUCCCUGUCUCUUAUAC